rnacentral:rRNA from 1 species
GAUGAACGCUGGCGUCGUGCCUAAUACAUGCAAGUCGAGCGAACGGACGAGAAGCUUGCUUCUCUGAUUUUAGCGGCGGACGGGGGAGUAAAACGUGGAUAACCUACCUAUAAGACUGGGAUAACUUCGGGAAACCGUAGCUAAUACCGGAUAAUAUUUUGAACCGCAUGGUUCAAAAGUGAAAGACGGUCUUGCUGUCACUUAUAGAUGGAUCCGCGCUGCAUUAGCUAGUUGGUAAGGUAACGGCUUACCAAGGCAACGAUGCAUAGCCGACCUGAGAGGGUGAUCGGCCACACUGGAACUGAGACACGGUCCAGACUCCUACGGGAGGCAGCAGUAGGGAAUCUUCCGCAAUGGGCGAAAGCCUGACGGAGCAACGCCGCGUGAGUGAUGAAGGUCUUCGGAUCGUAAAACUCUGUUAUUAGGGAAGAACAUAUGUGUAAGUAACUGUGCACAUCUUGACGGUACCUAAUCAGAAAGCCACGGCUAACUACGUG